rnacentral:ncRNA from 1 species
CUUCGUUCUCGGGGCGGGGUGUAAUUCCCCACCGGCGGUAAUGAGAGGUUCUCAAAGCCCGCGAGCGCUUUCUUGAAGACCUAUGUUUAGGGGAAGAGAAAGGUCAGCAGAUCUGGUGUGACUCCAGAGCCGACGGUUAUAGUCCGGAUGAUAGAGGACGGCG